GUGCCAGCUUCCUUCUAACUUAGCUGCUAACGCAACUCAUCCUGUGUCAACAGAAACGGCAGGAGUGAAAAAAACAAAACAAAAACCCGAACCCAAUGAGAUGAAAGAGAAGAGCUUCUUUCUUCUCCCCUCUGGCAGAUUUUAGAAAAGUAUGAAGUAGGUAUGACCUCUCUGAGUCAGCUUGGGAUUGUUUUUCCUCCUCUUUCAGCUCCACCUUCGUGGUGCCUAUCACCAAUUGGUCAUCCUCUCCAGAGACGGUUUUUCAAGACAAAGGUAGUUAAGAAGGACAGAAAGACAAGAUGGUAUCAAACUCUAAAUAUAAAAAACAAUUAAUGUCGCCAUUCAACAUCUGGAACAUUUUGGGCAGAAGAGGAAGCAAAGGUAUCCAAGCAGCGAGAAUGAUUUUUGCACAAUACUGGAAGAAUGAAGGACUGCCAUCAGAAGA